rnacentral:misc_RNA from 1 species
AGAUUAUAUCGUUGUUAUCGGAGAAAGCUUUUCUGUCUUUUAGAUGUAAUGUUGGAAUUACCGUGGAAAGAAAUUUGCAAGUGAAAUUAGAUGAUGGAGAAGAGUGGGCCAACUGAUAAUUUCCAAAGAAGAGUAGUUAAAACACAAAAUAAGAAAGAAGACAAAUUCAAGAAAAAUGUUGCACGUAAUUCAGUAAGAAGUUCUAGGGUGGCUGUUGUUGACAGUGGAGAAGUGAAAUCAGAAAAAAGUAUUGGAAACAGUUCUUUAUCAACAAAAGCAUCUAGUUGUAGAAAAAAAAUCAUCAAAGAAUAUAAUGCAAACCAAAGUCACCAUUCAAAAAUUUCAGGAAAAAAUCAUAUGUUACCAUACUCUGAGAAAGACCAGUUACAUUUGUCACACUCUUCAGUAGCCAAAGGUAUUUGUCAUUCCAUUGAAGAUAGUUUACACAAGAAGGAGACAAAAAGUGCAUCUAUUAUUGAUGAUUCACAACAGAAUAUAUGCCUUCAUAAAAGUAAAGAUGAGCAAAAGUUGGAACACACCUGUUUAGAUGAAGAGUCUGAGAAAAGUAAUCAUGGACAUGUAAUUCCAAGAACUUCUUUUUGUUCAGAUGAAGAAAAAUGUUUAUCUACUAGAAAAAAUGUUAGCAAUUUACUAGAAAUGACCUGUCAUUCUAAAGAUGAAGCUAUAUUUGUUAACACUGAUUUCAUAAUAGAAAAGUUAAAAUCUGAUUGCUUAUCUGAUGACACUAGCUCUUGUUUGAGUAAUGAUUCAUGUAGUGAAAACUGUAAAAUAAAUCCAGAUCAGAAAAAUAAGUUAGUUGUUUCAGAGUGUGGAAGAAUGCCUGAUGGAAAUGAGACUGUCCUUUCAAGAUGUGAUAGUAUAGAACACCUUGAAAAUGGAAUGAAAUUGUCAGUCUGUACUGAUAUGGAAACCACUAAUGACAUCUCAACAAAAGAGGCAUUAUCAGGUGAUUUGGUGUAUGUAAAUAAUUUUGAUAAUAUUCACAGUCAUUCUUUCAAUCUUCCUGUUUAUAAUGUUAAACAUGUACCUAGCUCUACAAACAUUUCCAAAAUGGAAGAAAAUGAAAACAAAAACUUAUGUUUCACAUCUGGGAAAAUAAAUCAAAAUUUGAUUAAGAAUUAUAUUGAAGUAGAGGACAAUGUUGGAUGGCAGAGCUGUGUGGAGACUGCUCAAAAUGAAGAAAUGAUCAAAAAUGUUCUGAAGCAAGUGAGUCGACGACUAAGUCAGGUGUGUCAGAGUGACCUACAGCAGUUCACUGUGACAGACUCAAGUACUUCUCAAUCUGAUAAGACACUACCUCAUAUCAAUCCCUCAGAUUCUCAGGAGACAGACUGUGCCUUGGAAUCUCAUACUUACUCAUCAAAACCAGGAUCAGCCAGUAGCCUCCUAGACCUGGCCAAAAAGUACAGUUCCAAAGAUUAUAACAGCAGAAAAGCAAGUAGUGGCAAUACCAGUCUUGUCAGUGAUUCUUCUCACUCUUAUUUGGCGAAGCAAAACAAUGUAGAAGAAGACCUCAAUUCAAGCAAAAAGCCACUGAAGUUGGAACCUCUUUCAAUUGAUAAACCACUGAUUUCCAAGUCAUUGGAAUCCCUAAAUUCUGUACUUGACUCUCCAGAAUUACAUAGGUCACAUUCAGCAACUCAGUCUGUUAUGUCUAGUGUUGAAGGUGUCCUGCCACUUAUAUCAGUUUGUGAAGCAAGAAGCAGGUGUUAUGUAGUUGGAACUGUUGGAAGUCAAGGAUCACUUUUGGGUCCUUCUGAACUUUUGAGGUAUUUCCCUGAUCAGAAAGUAUCUGUGUUUGUUGGAACAUGGAAUAUGAAUGGGCAGCUUCCACCAAAGAAUCUAGAUGAUUUCCUACUCCCACUAGGGGUUAAUCAUCUGCCAGAUAUCUAUGCUGUUGGGGUUCAAGAAGGAGUUCAGGAUAGGAAGGAGUGGGAGAUCACUUUGCAGACAACUUUGGGUCCCUCACAUGUUCUCUUCCAUUCUGUUGGUCUAGGUGUGUUAUACCUAUCUAUAUUUCUUCGAAGGGAUCUCAUCUGGUUCUGUUCUGAUCCAGAAGAUGCAACAUACAGCACCAGGCCUGGCUCUGCAGUCAAAACUAAGGGAGCAGUUGCUGUAUCAUUCAUGUUUUUUGGGACUUCUCUACUGUUUAUCAACUCACAUCUAACAGCACAUGAGAAAAAAAUAAAAGAGCGACUAUCAGACUAUGAAAAAAUCUGCCUGAUGUUGGACCUCCCAAGGAAUCUACCCUUAAAAUCCCAGUAUCAGAGCAAAGAUGUCACAGCAAGGUUUGACAGUGUGUUUUGGUGUGGAGAUCUAAACUUUCGAUUGACCCAGAAACGAGACUUUAUUAUCAAAUUAUUAGAAGAACGCAGUAUAAAGAACACAGUCUCGUGUAAAACGUUGUUGAAUCAUGAUCAGCUAAAGAAGGCUAUGGGUAAAGGUGUUGCCUUCAGAGACUUCCAUGAAGCCGAAAUAAUGUUUGUGCCUUCUUACAAGUAUAGUACUGGGUCUUCCUUAUUUGACUCCAAGAAGCUACGUGUACCUUCUUACACUGACCGUGUGUUGUUUCGACAUAAGAAGAACAAUACCAUAACUUGUUUGUUGUAUGAUAUAGCAGAGAGCAUCACUACUUCAGACCAUAAACCUAUAUAUGCAUUAUUUCAAGUUUGUGUGAAGCCAGGACGGGAUAACAUUCCCCUAGCGGCAGGUUUAUUCAACAGAGAAGUUUAUUUGGAAGCAUCUCGGAGACGUGCUGCUGCACUUGAAAAUCAAGAUCGGAGAAGUUCUGUGUGUUCUUUAAUGUAACACUGGUCUACUGCAGGUGUGGCAUUAGAAAAUGAUGAAUUAAAGAUAAUUGAUGCGAAAUGAAGUAAUCUGUGUAGCAGGUGAAGAUCUUUCUUGCUGAUGUUACACACUGUUGUCUGGGACAUGAGGAUAGCUUUUCCUGCUGACCUUUGUGUUCUUUGAUUCUCACCUGUUACAAAAUGCUGCAAUUUGAUAAUCACAACUGGGUAAAAAUAUUUGCAGACCAUUUUUUGGAUGGUACUGGUGCUCCAAGUUGAUCCAUGUUCUUUUGUUUGUCAAUGCCAUUAAGUAUAAGGGGUAGCCCCAUCUGGGAGAUCCUAAUUCCCAAUCUGAACAUAUCUUUAUGAUCUGAGUGUACAAAAAGCUUGUAUAUCGGAAAAGGCUCUUACAUACCAUUCCCAGUACUCAACUUACAAAUUACAAAAUGCCAAACAAUGUUAAAAUGUAGUUCUAAUAAAUUCUGUUCCACUGCAACCUUA